AGCUCUCCUUGAGUUUCUAUGGAAACUGCCUCAGCUUCCUGUUGUACCCUCCUGGUUCACCACGGCAAUUCUUAGUUUCCUGUCGCUUCUUCCCUGGUUGCUCUAAUGAUGCUGCUGACAAUUUCCUGCCUCUUGGUAGGGGGGUUCUCUUGCAACUGGGUUGCUAUGGUGACUCACAGCUUCCUGUUGCUAUGGAGCUUUUUCUUCCUCGCCAGAGGAGCUUGGUUAAGGUAAUAUGGAAGGGUUUCAUACCUAUUCUCACCCUAGCUUCCCCUCCAGCCUCAGAAACACUUGACUCUUCUGGAGAUGUGUCCCCAGGACCAAGAAACAGUCCCAGCCUGCAGUCCCCCAACCCUGGGAGCAGUACUCCUGCUCUGAGCAGUGGCGGGAUCUUAGGGCUAUCCAGGCAGGCCUGGCUGAGAGGCAUCAAGGUCAGAGGUCAAAAAAGAAUCUUGAGGAGCAGGGAGAGACACUCUCAAUAGAGACCAUAUCUAAACACUGCAAUUUCUGUGUCCUCAGAGUCAUUCCCGAGCCCUGAGUGACCCCACCACGCCUCUGUGAACUAGGAACCAGAGUGACCCUGUUUGCUUGCCUUUAUGCACUGGGGACAGGGAAAUGUCCCUCUUGCUAUGCAACUG
rnacentral:lncRNA from 1 species